GAAUCCCGUCUUUGGCACGGAUGUACCGGGGCUUUUGUGAUGCGCUCUCGAAGAGUCGAGUUGUUUGGGAAUGCAGCUCAAAAUGGGUGGUGAACUCCAUCUAAAGCUAAAUAUUGGCGAGAGACCGAUAGCGAACAAGUACCGUGAGGGAAAGAUGAAAAGCACUUUGGAAAGAGAGUGAAACAGUACGUGAAAUUGUUGAAAGGGAAACGCUUGAAGUCAGUCGCGUCGACCGAGACUCAGCCUCGCCUCGGCUUGGUGUACUUCUCGGCUGACGGGUCAGCAUCAAUUUUGCCCCUUGGAUAAUGGCGAGGGAAAUGUGACACCUUUGCGGUGUGUUAUAGUCUCUCGUCGCAUGCAAGGGUCGGGAUUGAGGAACUCAGCACGCGCCUUCGGGCGUCGGGGCCUUGCCCACGAUACGUGCUUAGGAUGUUGGCGUAAUGGCUUUAAACGACCCGUCUUGAAACACGGACCAAGGAGUCUAACAUGCCCGCGAGUGUUCGGGUGGAAAACCCGUGCGCGCAAUGAAAGUGAAAGUUGGGACCUCUGUCGCGGAGGGCACCGACGCCCGGACCAGAGCUUCUGCGACGGAUCUGCGGUGGAGCGUGUAUGUUAGGACCCGAAAGAUGGUGAACUAUGCCUGAAUAGGGUGAAGCCAGAGGAAACUCUGGUGGAGGCUCGUAGCGAUUCUGACGUGCAAAUCGAUCGUCAAAUUUGGGUAUAGGGGCGAAAGACUAAUCGAACCAUCUAGUAGCUGGUUCCUGCC
rnacentral:rRNA from 1 species